GGCGGCGUGCUUAACACAUGCAAGUCGAACGAUGAACCACUUCGGUGGGGAUUAGUGGCGAACGGGUGAGUAACACGUGGGCAAUCUGCCCUUCACUCUGGGACAAGCCCUGGAAACGGGGUCUAAUACCGGAUAUCACUCCCGCAGGCAUCUGCGGGUGUCGAAAGCUCCGGCGGUGAAGGAUGAGCCCGCGGCCUAUCAGCUUGUUGGUGAGGUAAUGGCUCACCAAGGCGACGACGGGUAGCCGGCCUGAGAGGGCGACCGGCCACACUGGGACUGAGACACGGCCCAGACUCCUACGGGAGGCAGCAGUGGGGAAUAUUGCACAAUGGGCGAAAGCCUGAUGCAGCGACGCCGCGUGAGGGAUGACGGCCUUCGGGUUGUAAACCUCUUUCAGCAGGGAAGAAGCGAAAGUGACGGUACCUGCAGAAGAAGCGCCGGCUAACUACGUGCCAGCAGCCGCGGUAAUACGUAGGGCGCAAGCGUUGUCCGGAAUUAUUGGGCGUAAAGAGCUCGUAGGCGGCUUGUCACGUCGGGUGUGAAAGCCCGGGGCUUAACCCCGGGUCUGCAUUCGAUACGGGCUAGCUAGAGUGUGGUAGGGGAGAUCGGAAUUCCUGGUGUAGCGGUGAAAUGCGCAGAUAUCAGGAGGAACACCGGUGGCGAAGGCGGAUCUCUGGGCCAUUACUGACGCUGAGGAGCGAAAGCGUGGGGAGCGAACAGGAUUAGAUACCCUGGUAGUCCACGCCGUAAACGGUGGGCACUAGGUGUUGGCGACAUUCCACGUCGUCGGUGCCGCAGCUAACGCAUUAAGUGCCCCGCCUGGGGAGUACGGCCGC
rnacentral:rRNA from 1 species